rnacentral:rRNA from 1 species
CUCCUCCGAGCGUCCAUAGCGGCGAGGAGGUUUGGCACCUCGAUGUCGGCUCAUCGCAUCCUGGGGCUGAAGAAGGUCCCAAGGGUUUGGGAGUUCACCAAUUAAAGCGGUACGCGAGCUGGGUUUAGACCGUCGUGAGACAGGUCGGUCCCUAUCUUCCGUGGGCGUACGAUAUUUGAGAAAAUCUGCCUCUAGUACGAGAGGAUCGAGGUGGACGAACCUAUGGUGAAUCAGUUGUUGUGCUAACAGCAUGGCUGAGUAGCUAAGUUCGGAAGGGAUAAACGCUGAAAGCAUAUAAGCGUGAAGCCUGCUUUAAGAUUAGAUAUCGUUCUCUAAGCAAUUAGAGUGAAGACAUCUUAAAGACUAUGAGAUUGAUAGGCCAGGUGUGUAAGUCCGGUAACGGAUUCAGCUAACUGGUACUAAUAUGUCGAAAAGCUUGAUCACC